CGUUUUCCCUCUGUUAUUAUUACAUAUUAAUUGUCUUACCAUUUGUUCCUAUUCGAGACUUACCAUGUCGUGGGUCUCUGAUUAUAAAUAUACGUGGUUCCAAAAACUCGCUGUCAAUGUUAUAAGGUGUGGACCUCUACCGUACCACAUCGGUUUUGUUAUGGAUGGCAAUCGUAGAUACGCCACUUCACAGCAAAUUCGUAAAAUUGAUGGUCAUGCCAAGGGUUUCGAAAAGCUAGCAGACUGUUUGCGGUGGUGCUUGGAUGUCGGAAUCCGAGAGGUCACAACAUUCGCUUUUAGUAUUGAAAAUUUUAAAAGAUCAGAGGAAGAAGUCAGUGGCCUAAUGGAUUUGGCACGUGAAAAGUUUUCUAAACUCCUUCAAGAGCUACCUAAACUUCAUGAGCAUGGUGUCCGUAUCAGAGUUAUAGGCAAUAUAGGCUUGCUGCCAGAUGACCUGCAAAAACUUAUUGCUCAAACCAUGUUAGAAACGGAAAAUAACAACAAAUUGUUCCUAAACGUGGCAUUCUCGUACACAUCCAGAGAUGAAAUUACACAAGCCGUCCAGGAUGUAUUGAUCCAUGGAGAUGGCCUUCUUGAGGGUGACAUUAGUGAACGUCUCAUUGAAGAGUGCUUAUAUAGCAGACACUCGCCACAGCCGGAUCUAUUGUUUCGCACUUCAGGAGAAACACGCAUCAGUGACUUUCUGAUGUGGCAACUCAACUCCACAAUUUUGUACUUUACAAAAAUAUUUUGGCCACAGCUAACAAUCUGGGAGUUUCUCUCGGGUAUAUUCUGUUAUCAACGCGAUAGCCUAAACAUGAAAUCAUUUAGGAGCUAUGAACGUUUGGAAAAAAUGGCAGUAGCGAGGAAUUCCGGCUUCUAUACAGAACGUGUUCAAAAUUUUCUACAAUGCCUAGAUACGUAUAGGAGAAACGCAUUGUUGAAAUGGUCCACGGCACAGUAGCCAAAAGAUUUAAAUAACUCUAUAAAAUGUCCACUACUUACACAUUCUGCUCAUUAUUUCCGUUUAUAGUAAUUGCAAAAUUUUCUUUAUAACAAUAAUCUGACAAACGUAUUUUUCAAACCUCAACAAUGACCUAGAGGGGCCACAUACUUUCGUCUAUAUUGACCAAAUACCAAAAAAGUUCGAGGAGUUGUAAGCUGUUUUGACAUUGAAAAAUCUAUUUCUAUAUUUACUUCUUUUUUAGUGGAAAGAUUGAAUUUAAGUAACAGCACAGUAUCAGGCUAUAAGUUGGUGUUGCAUAAUUAAAAUCAAUAUUUUUCGCCGUAACUGUAUUAUUAUUAUAACUGUUUUGAGUUCAUACAUCAUAAUACUUGGCGACAUUUGUGAGCUACUGUACCAUUUAGUAUGGCGACCAUGUAAAAACUUCUCCACAAAAAGUUGUCGCAAUGCCGCACGCCGUUCGGACUGGGCUAUAAAAAGAAGGCCCCUUAUCAUUAAGGUUAAACUUGAUGGGGCGAGUUUAACAAAAAAUCAUAAUGGUUUAGUAGAAUAUUCCCUCGUUAAAUAGGAAGAUGUUUAAAUAAUAUAGCUGAAAAAAGUUGUGAAUAAAGGCAUACGUUUAUAGUAAACAAAAAAACAUAAUAAAACAGAAAAAUAGUUUUGGCUACUAAGGCUAUAAAGCUACCAAUCAUUUA